AGAGUUUGAUCAUGGCUCAGGACGAACGCUGGCGGCGUGCUUAACACAUGCAAGUCGAACGGAAAGGCCCUUCGGGGUACUCGAGUGGCGAACGGGUGAGUAACACGUGGGUGAUCUGCCCUGCACUCUGGGAUAAGCCUGGGAAACUGGGUCUAAUACCGGAUAGGACCGCAUGCUUCAUGGUGUGUGGUGCAAAGCUUUUGCGGUGUGGGAUGAGCCCGCGGCCUAUCAGCUUGUUGGUGGGGUAAUGGCCUACCAAGGCGACGACGGGUAGCCGGUCUGAGAGGGUGACCGGCCACACUGGGACUGAGAUACGGCCCAGACUCCUACGGGAGGCAGCAGUGGGGAAUAUUGCACAAUGGGCGCAAGCCUGAUGCAGCGACGCCGCGUGAGGGAUGACGGCCUUCGGGUUGUAAACCUCUUUCAGUAGGGACGAAGCGAAAGUGACGGUACCUACAGAAGAAGGACCGGCCAACUACGUGCCAGCAGCCGCGGUAAUACGUAGGGUCCGAGCGUUGUCCGGAAUUACUGGGCGUAAAGAGCUCGUAGGUGGUUUGUCGCGUUGUUCGUGAAAACUCACAGCUUAACUGUGGGCGUGCGGGCGAUACGGGCAGACUAGAGUACUGCAGGGGAGACUGGAAUUCCUGGUGUAGCGGUGGAAUGCGCAGAUAUCAGGAGGAACACCGGUGGCGAAGGCGGGUCUCUGGGCAGUAACUGACGCUGAGGAGCGAAAGCGUGGGUAGCGAACAGGAUUAGAUACCCUGGUAGUCCAA
rnacentral:rRNA from 1 species